rnacentral:rRNA from 1 species
AUUGAACGCUGGCGGCAGGCUUAACACAUGCAAGUCGAACGAGUGGCGGACGGGUGAGUAAUGUCUGUGAAACUGCCCGAUGGAGGGGGAUAACUACUGGAAACGGUAGCUAAUACCGCAUACCAUCGGAUGUGCCCAGAUGGGACUAGCUAGUAGGUGGGGUACCGGCUCACCUAGGCGACGAUCCCUAGCUGGUCUGGGAGGAUGACAAGCAACACGGGAACUGAGACAGGGUCCAAACGCCUACGUGAGGCAGAAGUGGGGAAUAUUGCACAAUGGGCGAAAGCCUGAUGCAGCCAUGCCGAGGGGAUGAAGAAGGCCUUCGGGUUGUAAAGUACUUUAAGCGAGGAGGCGUUACUCGCAGAAGAAGCACCGGCUAACUCCGUGCCAGCAGCCGCGGUAAUAC